UACGGAGGGUGCAAGCGUUAACCGGAAUUACUGGGCGUAAAGCGCACGCAGGCGGUCUGUCAAGUCGGCUGUGAAAUCCCCGGGCUCAACCUGGGACGUGCAUCCGAAACUGGCAGGCUAGAGUCUUGUAGAGGGGGGUGGAAUUCCUGGUGUAGCGGUGAAAUGCGUAGAGAUCUGGAGGAACACCGGUGGCGAAGGCGGCCCCCUGGGCAAAGACUGACGCUCAGGUGCGAAAGCGUGGGGAGCAAACAGG
rnacentral:misc_RNA from 1 species